UUAAGCGACUAAGCGUACACGGUGGAUGCCCUGGCAGUCAGAGGCGAUGAAGGACGUGCUAAUCUGCGAUAAGCGUCGGUAAGGUGAUAUGAACCGUUAUAACCGGCGAUUUCCGAAUGGGGAAACCCAGUGUGAUUCGUCACACUAUCAUUAACUGAAUCCAUAGGUUAAUGAGGCGAACCGGGGGAACUGAAACAUCUAAGUACCCCGAGGAAAAGAAAUCAACCGAGAUUCCCCCAGUAGCGGCGAGCGAACGGGGAGCAGCCCAGAGCCUGAAUCAGUGUGUGUGUUAGUGGAAGCGUCUGGAAAGGCGCGCGAUACAGGGUGACAGCCCCGUACACAAAAAUGCACAUGCUGUGAGCUCGAUGAGUAGGGCGGGACACGUGGUAUCCUGUCUGAAUAUGGGGGGACCAUCCUCCAAGGCUAAAUACUCCUGACUGACCGAUAGUGAACCAGUACCGUGAGGGAAAGGCGAAAAGAACCCCGGCGAGGGGAGUGAAAAAGAACCUGAAACCGUGUACGUACAAGCAGUGGGAGCACGCUUCGGCGUGUGACUGCGUACCUUUUGUAUAAUGGGUCAGCGACUUAUAUUCUGUAGCAAGGUUAACCGAAUAGGGGAGCCGAAGGGAAACCGAGUCUUAACUGGGCGUUAAGUUGCAGGGUAUAGACCCGAAACCCGGUGAUCUAGCCAUGGGCAGGUUGAAGGUUGGGUAACACUAACUGGAGGACCGAACCGACUAAUGUUGAAAAAUUAGCGGAUGACUUGUGGCUGGGGGUGAAAGGCCAAUCAAACCGGGAGAUAGCUGGUUCUCCCCGAAAGCUAUUUAGGUAGCGCCUCGUGAAUUCAUCUCCGGGGGUAGAGCACUGUUUCGGCAAGGGGGUCAUCCCGACUUACCAACCCGAUGCAAACUGCGAAUACCGGAGAAUGUUAUCACGGGAGACACACGGCGGGUGCUAACGUCCGUCGUGAAGAGGGAAACAACCCAGACCGCCAGCUAAGGUCCCAAAGUCAUGGUUAAGUGGGAAACGAUGUGGGAAGGCCCAGACAGCCAGGAUGUUGGCUUAGAAGCAGCCAUCAUUUAAAGAAAGCGUAAUAGCUCACUGGUCGAGUCGGCCUGCGCGGAAGAUGUAACGGGGCUAAACCAUGCACCGAAGCUGCGGCAGCGACACUAUGUGUUGUUGGGUAGGGGAGCGUUCUGUAAGCCUGUGAAGGUGUACUGUGAGGUAUGCUGGAGGUAUCAGAAGUGCGAAUGCUGACAUAAGUAACGAUAAAGCGGGUGAAAAGCCCGCUCGCCGGAAGACCAAGGGUUCCUGUCCAACGUUAAUCGGGGCAGGGUGAGUCGACCCCCUAAGGCGAGGCCGAAAGGCGUAGUCGAUGGGAAACAGGUUAAUAUUCCUGUACUUGGUGUUACUGCGAAGGGGGGACGGAGAAGGCUAUGUUGGCCGGGCGACGGUUGUCCCGGUUUAAGCGUGUAGGCUGGUUUUCCAGGCAAAUCCGGAAAAUCAAGGCUGAGGCGUGAUGACGAGGCACUACGGUGCUGAAGCAACAAAUGCCCUGCUUCCAGGAAAAGCCUCUAAGCAUCAGGUAACAUCAAAUCGUACCCCAAACCGACACAGGUGGUCAGGUAGAGAAUACCAAGGCGCUUGAGAGAACUCGGGUGAAGGAACUAGGCAAAAUGGUGCCGUAACUUCGGGAGAAGGCACGCUGAUAUGUAGGUGAAGCGACUUGCUCGUGGAGCUGAAAUCAGUCGAAGAUACCAGCUGGCUGCAACUGUUUAUUAAAAACACAGCACUGUGCAAACACGAAAGUGGACGUAUACGGUGUGACGCCUGCCCGGUGCCGGAAGGUUAAUUGAUGGGGUUAGCGGUAACGCGAAGCUCUUGAUCGAAGCCCCGGUAAACGGCGGCCGUAACUAUAACGGUCCUAAGGUAGCGAAAUUCCUUGUCGGGUAAGUUCCGACCUGCACGAAUGGCGUAAUGAUGGCCAGGCUGUCUCCACCCGAGACUCAGUGAAAUUGAACUCGCUGUGAAGAUGCAGUGUACCCGCGGCAAGACGGAAAGACCCCGUGAACCUUUACUAUAGCUUGACACUGAACAUUGAGCCUUGAUGUGUAGGAUAGGUGGGAGGCUUUGAAGUGUGGACGCCAGUCUGCAUGGAGCCGACCUUGAAAUACCACCCUUUAAUGUUUGAUGUUCUAACGUUGACCCGUGAUCCGGGUUGCGGACAGUGUCUGGUGGGUAGUUUGACUGGGGCGGUCUCCUCCUAAAGAGUAACGGAGGAGCACGAAGGUUGGCUAAUCCUGGUCGGACAUCAGGAGGUUAGUGCAAUGGCAUAAGCCAGCUUGACUGCGAGCGUGACGGCGCGAGCAGGUGCGAAAGCAGGUCAUAGUGAUCCGGUGGUUCUGAAUGGAAGGGCCAUCGCUCAACGGAUAAAAGGUACUCCGGGGAUAACAGGCUGAUACCGCCCAAGAGUUCAUAUCGACGGCGGUGUUUGGCACCUCGAUGUCGGCUCAUCACAUCCUGGGGCUGAAGUAGGUCCCAAGGGUAUGGCUGUUCGCCAUUUAAAGUGGUACGCGAGCUGGGUUUAGAACGUCGUGAGACAGUUCGGUCCCUAUCUGCCGUGGGCGCUGGAGAACUGAGGGGGGGGCUGCUCCUAGUACGAGAGGACCGGAGUGGACGCAUCACUGGUGUUCGGGUUGUCAUGCCAAUGGCACUGCCCGGUAGCUAAAUGCGGAAGAGAUAAGUGCUGAAAGCAUCUAAGCACGAAACUUGCCCCGAGAUGAGUUCUCCCUGACUCCUUGAGAGUCCUGAAGGAACGUUGAAGACGACGACGUUGAUAGGCCGGGUGUGUAAGCGCAGCGAUGCGUUGAGCUAACCGGUACUAAUGAACCGUGAGGCUUAACCU
rnacentral:rRNA from 1 species